GACGUAGGGUGCGAGCGUUGUCCGGAUUCAUUGGGCGUAAAGAGCUCGUAGGCGGCUGUUCAAGUCGAACGUGAAAACUCGGAGCUCAACUCCGAGCCUGCGUUCGAUACUGGACGGCUAGAGUCUGGUAGGGGGAUCUGGAAUUCCUGGUGUAGCGGUGAAAUGCGCAGAUAUCAGGAGGAACACCGAUGGCGAAGGCAGGUCUCUGGGCCACUACUGACGCUGAGAAGCGAAAGCAUGGGGAGCGAACAGG
rnacentral:rRNA from 1 species